UACGGGGGGGGCAAGCGUUGUUCGGAAUUACUGGGCGUAAAGGGCGCGUAGGCGGCCCUCUAAGUCAGACGUGAAAUCCCUCGGCUCAACCGGGGAACUGCGUCUGAUACUGGAGGGCUUGAAUCCGGGAGAGGGAUGUGGAAUUCCAGGUGUAGCGGUGAAAUGCGUAGAUAUCUGGAGGAACACCGGUGGCGAAGGCGGCAUCCUGGACCGGUAUUGACGCUGAGGCGCGAAAGCCAGGGGAGCGAACGGG
rnacentral:rRNA from 1 species